GGCCCGCAGGACUGCCGCGGGCUGACCGCAGGGCCAGGGGCCCGCAGGCUGCGUGCUGUGCUUCCGUGGGGCCACUCCACCCUCACCAGUAGACAGCUGUGUCGUGGUGCUGUGAUGUGCAUGUCCAUGAUGACCGGUGACGUCAGGACCUAGUCAUGUGCCUGUUGGCCAUGUCUGUUUUUUUGGAGAAAUGACUAUUCAAGUUCUCAGCCCACAUUCUCGUUUUUUUGUGGACGAGUUUUAGGAGACGUUAAUCCCUUAUCGGACACGUAACUUGGAAACGUUUCCCGUUUCUUUGGGGCCCUUUUACUCCGUUGGUUGUUCCCUUUGCUGCGGGAAGUUUUUCAGUUUGAUGUAGUUUCAUCUGUCUGUUUUUGCUGCCUGUGCUUUGGGUGUCGUAUCCCGGAAAUCAUUGCCCGUUCCAACGCCAUGAAGCUUUUCCACUAAGUUUUCUCCUGGGAGAUUUAUAGUUUCAUAUCUUACAGCUAGUUGUUUACUGUUUUGAGUUAGUUUUCACAAGAUCCAAGACAAAGGACACUUUUCAUUUUCUUGCGUGUGGAUGUCGGGUUUUCCAACGUCAUUUGCUGAAGAGAUGCCCUUCCCCUUCGAGCAUCUUACGGGAGGUCAUUGACUGUGUGUGUCUGUGUGUUGGUUUUUUUGGGGGCUCUCUUCUGUCCCCCGGGUCCCUCUGUCUUUGCACCAGUACCACAGUAUUUUUUUGGUUUUAUCUUUUAAGAAUUUUUUUCCUGGUGGUUAUUUUUUCUGCUUAUUCCCUUUUGCCUCCUUUAAACCCUUUAAUUUUCUAUUUAACGUUUAAUUCAUUAUUUCUCCUUUAACAACGCGUUGGAGGAAGUCUACGAAGUUACCUAAUAUCCUAAUAGUUUGCUUGGAAGUGCGGGUACCGUGUUUACCUUUUACUGGCUAAGCUUCAGUGUUCUCACUCGAGGUCAAGGGCAUGCCCUGUAAGAGUUCUCCUCUCCGGGCCAUGUCGAGGGCUGCUUUGUUCUCUAAGACGUGGCCAGUUUUCAUAACUGUCCCCCGGGCUUUAGAGAGGCAUCGUUGCUGUUUGUGGGGUAUUGAACUUAAAAUGUAUUUGUUAAAUCCAGCCUGGGGUGGUGGUGUCCAGCUUCCCACGUGAUCUUUUUCCCCUUAGAUUGUCAAGUUUGAGAGCUGUGUUAGCCUCACAUUAGCGUGGUUCGAAAUUUGUGUCCAGCGCUUUGUGCUGUGUUUGGUUCUUACUGAACGUCUGUCUGCCUUUAGGGUGAUUUUCUCUCCGUCAUAAAAUGUUCACCUUGGCGCCUUUCACGGCACCAUCGCCUUGAACCCAGCGUGGCGGUGGCGUGACUGCCGCCCUCUGCCCUGGGCGACCCUGCGCGCGUGUCCCAGCACAGCCGUUUGUUCUUCGCAUUUUUGCAUUUUCUCGUAAAUAGCAUAUCUUAGAUUUUGCCUUUUUCUCCAGCUUAUGAUAGACUCUCGCUCAGGUCACGUGGUCUGAGUUUGUGGGUUGUUACUCUUAGCCUCUUCCCGCCCCCCCGGUUCUCACCACCACCCUGUCUCCUGGUAUAUUUGUCUUGAAAUUUGUACCAGUAUUUUUAAACUUCAGUUUUUCUGCUUCAAGAAUUUAGUGUCAAAGUCCUAUUUUAGUCAGGAUGAGAUCUUUUAACGUGCUUUUUAAAACCUUAGCUCCGAUAGUUUGUUUUAUUGAAAAUAGUUAGAAACCUUAACAAUUAUAUAAUUUAAAAAAUAUAUCUCAGUUGUUUUCUCCCAAUAAUAUAUUUUUAAGCAACCAAAUCACCAUAUAAACCUCCAAAUAAAUCCGAUACAUCCAGGGUAGAAGUGGCCUGUAGCUCCACGUUGCCUAGGCCCAACCCUGUGUCUGCUCCCCCCUCCCGAGGCGGGGCAUGUGGCCUCGGACACCUGCGGUUUCUGUGGCAUCUGCUCACCUGGAAAGGGGGUGAGAGCUAGCAGCUUCCUGUGUUGGGAGGGGUGCGGCCGUUAGGGUCCUGGUCGUGGGUCGCCAUCGGGAGGCACUGCUGGCUUGUGUAGGGCAGUGUCAGUUGGGUCCACGCAGUUCCUCAGGGGCUGGUGCUAAUCUCCCUGGCCUCAGAAACCGUUCCUGGGUCCUUCACGUGAGCCAAAGCUGUCAGGGGACACAUAGUGGUCCUCUUAGGAGCUCGCAGGACUUGAGGGUCAGAGCGUGAUCAGGUCAGGAGGUGCGGGGAGGGAGCCGGCCCACGUGGCAGGAGGAGGAUGCCCAGGGUAGUGGGGGAUUCAGUGAGCUCACCAGCCCCGCCCUCGUGCCCCCCAGGGUCCCCCACUCUCCCCGGUGCCGCACUGUCUGCCAGCGCUGCCCCCUCACGGCGCCCGCUCCGUGGCCUCAGCCCCAGCAGUCCCUCUCGAGUGAAGCUUUCCUCUCGCCCGACGUUCGAGCUUCCCCGAGGGCACGCGUUGCAAUCGCAGUGCUCGGCUGAGUCCUUAGGUGACUCGGUGGUGCUGCCCACGCCGAGCUGGGCGCUCUGUGAAGCCUGGGCGCCCGGUGCCUGGCCAGCCCGGCCUGUGUGCGCAUGCGCAUCACCCCUCCCGCUUCCGCGCGCCCGGCCGCUUUCCAUCGGCUACCGAGAGGCGCUGAGGUACAGGGGUGACGCCCGUGGCUCUUGGACAAAGGGUCAGAAAGCGGAAGGUGGCAUUUCACAGAGCAAGGGCAGCAAGUGGAAAUACCCCUGCCUGUACAUCCCGCGCUUCGCCCACCUGCUGGAGUUCGGGGACAAGAACCACGAGGUGUCCAUGACGGCCCUCCGGCUCCUGCAGAGGAUGAAGAGGGACUGGAUGCACACGGGCCGGCGCCCCUCGGGCCUCUGCGGGGCAGCGCUGCUGGUCGCAGCCAGGAUGCACGAUUUCCGCAGAACCGUCAAGGAGGUCAUCAGCGUGGUCAAGGUGUGCGAGUCCACGCUGCGGAAGAGGCUGACAGAGUUUGAGGACACCCCCACCAGCCAGCUGACCGUGGACGAGUUCAUGAAGAUCGACUUGGAAGAGGAGUGCGACCCGCCGUCGUACACGGCCGGACAGAGGAAGCUGCGCCUGAAGCAGCUCGAGCAAGUCCUGUCGAAAAAGCUGGAGGAAGUCGAAGGUGAGAUAUCCGGCUACCAGGACGCGAUCGAGAUGGAGCUGGAGAACAGCCGGCCGAAGGCCAAGGGGGCCCUGGCCAGCCUGGCACGAGACGGCUCUGUCGAGGACGCAACGGCCAGCUUGUUGGGUGAGGAAGACGCCGAGGACGAGGAGCUGGAGGCCGCUGCCAGCCACCUAAACAAGGACUUCUACCGGGAGCUGCUCGGCAGAGGCGUCCCCGGCAGCUCAGAGGCAGCGGGCGGCCCAGGCCUGGGCGGCGGGCCCCCCGCCCUAGAGGCCCUGCUCGGGCCCCUGCCCACGGCGGCCAGCCUGGGCAUCUGCGAGCCCGUCCGCGAAUGCAUCUCCUCCCAGAGCCGGGACCCCAAGGAUGCGAGCGGCGAUGGCGAGUUGGACCUCAGCGGCAUCGACGACCUGGAGAUCGACAGGUACAUCCUGAACGAGGCGGAAGCCCGCGUGAAGGCGGAGCUGUGGAUGCGGGAGAACGCGGAGUACCUGCGGGAGCAGAGGGAGAAGGAAGCACGAAUCGCUAAGGAGAAGGAGCUGGGCAUCUACAAGGAGCACAAGCCCAAGAAGUCCUGCAAGCGCCGGGAGCCAAUCCAGGCCAGCACGGCCGGGGAGGCCAUCGAGAAGAUGUUGGAGCAGAAGAGGCUGUCCAGCAAGAUCGACUACAGCGUGCUCCGCGGCCUGGACAGCAAGGGCGCUGGCGGGCCGCAGCGGGAGGACACACCGCCCGUGGACAAGGCCAGCACCAGGAGGCUGCCGCGCAGGAAGGGGCCGGCCAGCAGGAGCGGGGCCGACCCGGUGCCCGGCGUGGGGAAAAGGUACCAGGCCGGCAGGCUGGGAGCGAGCGUGGGGGGCAGCCAAGAAGGAGCCUGGCUCUGUCCCGGGGAGCAGAUGGGCCCGCUCUCCUCUCCGGGGACUGGCGAGAGCAAGGCACUGCCGGGCCAGUGGAGUGGAUGCAGGGGAGACCACGGCCGUGUGCGCCGCUCCUGGCGAGGGCCCCUGAGGGCCCCUGCCACACCCAAGGCCGGUCCACCUGCCCCUGGCCCAGGAGACGAGUCUGGGCUCUGCUGCCACCUACCCAGCCCCAGGCAUGGUAGGCGCUGCAGGCACUUGCAGUCACCCGAGGGGAGGGCCGUGUGGGGCUGCAGCCCCACCCCGUCCAGCCACGCGUUGCCACCAUCUUCGUUUGGGAUUUACUUGAGAAGCUAAACUUUGAUUAGCAUUUCAUAUUCUUUACGGAGGAGUAAACACUUCUCGGGGUUUUCUGACACUGUCUCUGGAUUGGGUACUGCGCACUCGCUUCUCAAGCCCCUGAGUGCCCAGCACAGCCUGUCACCGUUCAGGCAGCUGCUUCCAGUCCUGCUGCAGGGACACGGCUGGCCUGCCCGACUCUCUGCCCUGGUGCCCCCCGUCUGCUGGGACCUGAGGAAGUCCUUUUCUGAGCCGGUCCCCUCCUCGCCGUGUGGUUACAGAGUGGGCGCUGUGUGGACUGCCUUGCCAAGGGGGGGCCUGGCAUCCAGCACAGGUCUCCCUCCUGCUCAGGCUGGCCAGUCCACCCUUCGGUGAGGCUGCGCGUCACCCUCAUGCCACUGCCCACAGCCCCAUGUCUAGCAUCUGCGGGCAGGCAGAGGGCAGGCGUGGGCGGCAGUGCCCAGCACAGAGGGGCCCCCUCCCAGGGCCCCAGGUUCUGUCCAGGCUGUCAGCAGGGAAGGGUUGCAGGCAGGCCUGGGGCUUGGCCGCGGGAGCCCAGAGAUGCCUGUACCUCACCAGCGGCCGGCUGGGCUCAAGGGCAGCGUCUCAGGUGCUCGCAGGCCCCCUGAGGCCUGGCCAGCGCGCCCAGAGUCAGGUGCUCUUGCGAGAAGGGCCUGGAAAUACGGCCCCCACUCCUUACCCAGGCCCUUGGACGCUGCCCUUCCUCAUCCCGCUCUCCGUGGACCACUGCACCUCUCUCCAGCUCCGCCCGGCCUCGCUAGUGAGCUCUCCUGCCGAGAGGGCGGGCCUGGCUGCCACCUCCCGGGUUCUGGGGACGGGAUCUCCUGCUUGGCCUGGGGCACCGGGGGAAGGGCUCCCUCUGAACUUGGCCUGCAGACGGCGUGUGCCUGCCUGUCUCCUGUUCCCUGGAGGCCGCUGGCCGAGACUCUUGGAGCCUACUACCUGGCCCUCCUCUUGAACAAGCUGUCCACACCGAGCAGCCAGCCCCUUGCUGUCAGCCGGCCACAGCUGUGACUGUCCACCCGUUGGUGUCCCCAGGGUUCACCGGCACGCCACAUUGGGGCCUGGCCUCGGGGGUCCCAGGGCGGUGGGCUGGGCAGGUUCGGGCGCACUGUGCAGCUCGGCCGUCUGAGCCCCUGCGGCUCCCAGCAGUGUGUGUCCCCAGCUGCCCCCAGGCUGUGGGCCCUGCCCCCGCCUCUCACCACCAGCCAGGGUGUGUGGGGUUCCUGGGCCUGGACAGCUCCUCUCAGGCGGGAGUUCCCACUACUCCUCUGGGGCCAGUCAGCACUCAUCAAGAUUUGGUAUGCUUCUUUUUUGGUCCCUUGCAAGUGACAGCAUGGACAGGCACCCCAGCUUUGCGUUUGGAAGGUCUGGGGGAGGGCGAGCAGGCCCAGUGGAAGGGGCGCUGUUGGCAGAAAUCGGGGUACCCUGUGCUGAGCGAGGGGCUUGGACUGGGAGGACAGGGGCAGUCUUGCGUCCUAGAGCUCUGCUCCCCCUCCCCACCCCUCCCUCGUCCUCCACCCGGUGUUCCGUUGCAGGUUGAGGCCGAUGGUUUCCACGCAGCUGGCUAAGAAGGCGGCCACAGGAGAGGCCCGGUUCCCGACCUCCCCCACCCUGGGAGCCGAGCCUGCGAGGCCCGCGACGGUCGUGGUGGAGAGCGGGCCCGUGUCCUACCACCCCGAGGACG